CACGUAAGACAGCAAAAAUAAGAAUGGAGAUUUGAAGAGGGGCAGAGUUUGUACAUGCCAAGAGGCUCUGUUUAAUCAAACAGUGAUUUGAGGUCUAAUUCCUUUGGCGAGAAUGCUAUGCACUUGUAUAGUACAUUGCGUGAGUGUAUCUGUGACCUGCUACCGCAAGAUCUGCUUAUUACCUCCAUCCUCUCUCCUUCUCUUCCAUAGUGUAACUUUUCAGGUUUUCAGUAACGAGGUUCUAUUGCACUUUAUAAUGUAUUUGACUUCUGCAUUGCCUCGAAAAUAAGAAAGAAAAUGUCUAAUAUAUGACUCUUUUUCGAGUGCUUGCAGACUUGCAACUCAUUACAAAGAUCAGGUAACAUUGUGCAGUGGACAGAAAGCCUGAAGUGGUCAUUGUCCUGCUUCCUCCUCAUCUGAGUUACAGCGCAAAACUGAAAGUCGAAAACUCCCGUGUUCAUUUACAUUGUUUUUAUGUUUUUAAAAAAAAAAUGUAUUUACUACUGUAUCUGACUCUGACAUGCAUUGACAAUCUUCUUGAAAUUGCUGUUUACAGUGCCAUCUUUUCCACGUUUUAGGACUGCCAAAUUGGUUCAUCA
rnacentral:lncRNA from 1 species